UUUCCUAUGAUAUUUGCACGAAGUGAAGGGACGUGGGCAGCCGAAGUAGCAGCGGAAGUACAACAAAUACAGCUGUUCAGACAUUGGCAAAUGGACUGAGUGAAAGAAGCGACAGCGAAUGGCAGGAAAAACUUGUGCGGCUUCUGUUGAGCCUGUGAACCUGUUUGCCGCACUGAAACCAUGAAUGAACAACCGCCAACAACAACAACAACAACAACGUUGUCUUGGACAGCAUUGUCACUGUCAAUAUGUAGAAAUGCACUCAAGCUUACUGCUAACAAAAGUUCCCCUCCUCCUUCAGUGCCACCCACAUACACACACACAC